rnacentral:rRNA from 1 species
CCUACGGGGUGCAGCAGUAGGGAAUUUUCGUCAAUGGGCGCAAGCCUGAACGAGCAAUGCCGCGUGAACGAGGAAGGUCUUCGGAUCGUAAAGUUCUGUUGAAGGGGAAAAAGAGCGGAGAGAGGAAAUGGUCUCCGAUUGAUAUUACCCUUCGAGGAAGUCACGGCUAACUACGUGCCAGCAGCCGCGGUAAUACGUAGGUGGCGAGCGUUAUCCGGAAUGAUUGGGCGUAAAGGGUGCGUAGGCGGCCUGCUGAGUCUGGGGUGAAAGGUACCGGCUCAACCGGUACAGGCUCUGGAAACGGGCGGGCUAGAGAGCAGGAGAGGGCGGUGGAACUCCAUGUGGAGCGGUAAAAUGCGUAGAUAUAUGGAAGAACACCAGUGGCGAAGGCGGCCGCCUGGCCUGUUACUGACGCUGAGGCACGAAAGCGUGGGGAGCAAAUAGGAUUAGAUACCCUUGUAGUC